rnacentral:rRNA from 1 species
CCUACGGGUGGCAGCAGUGGGGAAUAUUGCACAAUGGUCGAAACCCUGAUGCAGCGACGCCGCGUGAGUGAAGAAGUAUUUCGGUAUGUAAAGCUCUAUCAGCAGGGAAGAAAUAAAGUCCUUCGGACUUUGGACGGUACCAGACUAAGAAGCCCCGGCUCAGUACGUGCCAGCAGCCGCGGUAAUACGUAGGGGGCUAGCGUUAUCCGGAUUUACUGGGUGUAAAGGGAGCGUAGGCGGCAGCGCAAGUCUGGAGUGAAAUCCCAGGGCUUAACCAUGGAACUGCUGUGGAAACUGUGCAGCUUGAGUGGAGGAGAAGUAAGCGGAAUUCGUAGUGUAGCGGUGAAAUGCAGAGAUAUUAGGAGGAACACCAGUGGCGAAGGCGGCUUACUGGACUGUAACUGACGUUGAGGCUCGAAAGCGUGGGGAGCAAACAGGAUUAGAUACCCGAGUAGUC